rnacentral:rRNA from 1 species
UUCUGGCUCAGGAUGAACGCUAGCUACAGGCUUAACACAUGCAAGUCGAGGGGCAGCAUUGGGAUAGCUUGCUAUUCAGAUGGCGACCGGCGCACGGGUGAGUAACGCGUAUCCAACCUUCCUGCCAGUAGGGAACAGCCCGGCGAAAGUCGGAUUAAUGCCCUAUGUUCUUCAAUGCGGACAUCUAAGUUGAAGGAAAGAUUCAUCGCUGGCAGAUGGGGAUGCGUCCGAUUAGCUUGCCGGCGGGGUAACGGCCCACCGGGGCGACGAUCGGUAGGGGUUCUGAGAGGAAGGUCCCCCACACUGGUACUGAGACACGGACCAGACUCCUACGGGAGGCAGCAGUGAGGAAUAUUGGUCAAUGGGCGUAAGCCUGAACCAGCCAAGUAGCGUGCAAGGAUGACGGCCCUACGGGUUGUAAACUGCUUUUAUGCGGGGAUAAAGUGCGGCACGUGUGCCGCUUUGCAGGUACCGCAUGAAUAAGGACCGGCUAAUUCCGUGCCAGCCGCGGC